rnacentral:misc_RNA from 1 species
GAUGAAGAACGUAGCGAAAUGCGAUAACUAAUGUGAAUUGCAGAAUUCCGUGAAUCAUCGAGUCUUUGAACGCACAUUGCGCCCCCUGGUAUUCCGGGGGGCAUGCCUGUCCGAGCGUCAUUGCUGCCCAUCAAGCACGGCUUGUGUGUUGGGUCCUCGUCCCCCCCGGGGGACGUGCCCGAAAGGCAGCGGCGGCACCGCGUCCGGUCCUCGAGCGUAUGGGGCUUUGUCACCCGCUCUGCAGGCCCGGCCGGCGCUGGCCGACGCGAAAUCAACCAUUUUUUCUCCAGGUUGACCUCGGAUCAGGUAGGGAUACCCGCUGAACUUAAGCAUAUCAAUAAGCGGAGGA